UGGGCGCGGGGCGAGCGGGCGGCCCGGGAAGAACCCAAGCGCCGCCGCCCCGACCCGGAGGCUCCGGCGCGGUCCCGGCGGCCGCGCGCGGUGAUGACGUCACGCCCGUCCUGUCACGUAUUCAGGAGCCCUCUUACAUCGAGAAAACCCACGGAGGCUUCCAAUUUCUUCACUUCCAUUGUCCACAAUGGCCUUUUCGGGCCGACCAUCGCUGUGGUGACAAUCCUCUGAGUCCUUCGACCAUGGACUUCAGCGUUCUCUGCAUCACAGUCGGGCCUGUCAUCACCACUGGGUGGUUCUCCUCUGCUUCUGCACUCCGAGACAGUUAAGUGGAAGGAACUGGCGGUCUCUAGAAGCUGCACACUGCGAGGGAGAUUGCGAAGGAUCUUCUUAGAAGUCCCGGGAGUCCUCAUCUCCCUAUUCCGCUUCUGCUGCCUUUCACAGCUCUUGGAUGCGGAGCUUCUGAUUGAUUUCGGCGCACUUAUCUCAGUAGCUCAGAAGGGAAUGAGGUUCCUUGAUUCAGUUCAUGUGAAGGUCCAAACCAGUUGUGUUUGUACUGUUUUCCUCUGUGGGGCCUUUGAUUCUUUAGGGAUAAUAAAACUAUAGCCAAGUGGGUAGCAGUCUAAUUUUACGUAGUGUUUCCAUCUCUCAUAUCGUAUCUCUGAUCUAAAAUUCUCUGAUUUACAUAUUGUGAGUGCAGGAUUGGUACAAGUUUUAUGGGGGGCAUUUUGGAAAAGUUCACCAAAAUGUGAUGAAUGCAGAUAUCCUUUAACAGCGAUUUUAAUAAAUCUAUCCUGUGUAUACAUUCACACACAUGUAAAAUGAUGUGUGUGCAAGGUUGUUUGUAGAUUGUAUUGAAAACAAGUUUAACGCCCAUCAGUAGGGGACUGGUUCAGUAAUGUAUAGUACAUCCAUACAGUUCAGUACCAUGAAGUUGAGAAAAGUGUGCAUACUUUGCUAUUAGUUGUGUAAAAGGGUUGGGGAAAUAUAAAUAGUCGUACUUGCCUGUAUAUGUAUAAAAAUUGCAUUUGGAAUAAUACAAAAUAGAGUAGUAACAUUAGUUUCUUUGGAGAGAGGAACUGGUUGGUUGGGAGACAGGGCGGGAGGGAGAUUUUUUCCUCUGUAUAUUUUUAUGCCUUUUGAAUUUUGCAUCAUGUGAAUUAAAAAUAUGUAUAAUUUAAAUAAAAAUAAUACCUUGUUUUCUGGUUGCAGAAUAGCACCCAGAUGCUUUAAUGAUAUUGCCUAAUUCCUGGCUGCUAAACUGAGUUUUUCCAAAUAUGAGAGGGAACUUAAUAAAAGAGGCUUUGUUUA